UCCACUAACAACUGAGCGCGACCGGCGCAA
rnacentral:sRNA from 1 species